CUUCAUCCUCCUCCUCCUCAUC
rnacentral:miRNA from 1 species